rnacentral:rRNA from 1 species
UACGGGGGGGGCAAGCGUUGUUCGGAAUUACUGGGCGUAAAGGGCUCGUAGGCGGCCAACUAAGUCAGACGUGAAAUCCCUCGGCUUAACCGGGGAACUGCGUCUGAUACUGGAUGGCUUGAGGUUGGGAGAGGGAUGCGGAAUUCCCGGUGUAGCGGUGAAAUGCGCAGAUAUCGGGAAGAACACCCGUGGCGAAGGCGGCACUCUGGGACGGUACUGACGCUGAGACGCGAAAGCGUGGGGAGCGAACAGG